rnacentral:lncRNA from 10 species
UUUCUCCUGCAAUAGGCAGCAUGGAGAACAGCUUCUUUUCAUCCACCUAGUCCCAUUCCAUCUCCUUAGUGAACAUCUGCUGUAGGGACCUGCAGUCUCUGUUUAUGGCAAGGACUUUCUGAAUAUUGAAUCAUCUUUCACAUUCUACAGAAGUCACAGAAGCCAACACACAACUCCAGAGUUAAACAUAUUAAACCCCUGUCAUCAGAGAGAACUUUCAAAAAAUCUUGAGAUGGGACCCAUUGGCUCAGACUGAGUCAGAUGUCUACCCUUGGACCAAUCAACUGUGGUCUCUGUGAAUGUAGGCUACUAUUAUUGCCCUAUUUGAGUUUUCUUCCCACUCAUGAGCCAAUCAACUCUAGACAGAAAAGGGAAUGAUCUGAAGCUUGGAAGUUCUCACAGGAACCCUAUAAAUGAAGAAGAGGACAGGACAUGUUUUAAGACAAAGAAAAACGCUAUGCAACCAAAAUACAUCUACUACAAUAACAGUGAUUAUUAAAAAGUCAUUUAAUUUCUCUAAGCCUCAAUUUUCUCUUCUCUAAAAGUGUAUGAAUUGUCUAUUGCUAUGGAUAUGUAUCAAAUAAGAUACUUUAAAAGUUUUAAAUGACAAACUUCUAUACAGUUCUAAAAGGUUGCUCUGAUUAUUACACUGGUGUCACCAAAGUGGUUUCUAGAUUCUAUUUCUGCAGAGCUUUCAUUUGUAAAAUUGGAAUGAUUUUCUCUACUUUUUAUGGUUAUGGAC